rnacentral:misc_RNA from 1 species
UUCACAAAGAUUAGUCAUGAUAGAGCUGCCAUCAAUCAGUGUUACAAUUAGUGGAAGUAGAUUUGUUGCUGCCUUCAUGGCUUCUUAGCCAUUAGCCUCACAGAUGUAUAUGUGAUGGGUCCAACAGCGAAGCAAAGGAAGUUCAGGGGGAGGAGAAGGCGUCCUCAGGGUCCAGCCACCUCUGCUGGUUGGUCGAGACCAUGUCUUCACGUUCCGAGCUUGAUGCCAGAGCUUGAAGAGCAUUUCUAACCUUAUUCAUGCUUUUAUGGUGGCGGAGGCGUCUGAGGAUAACUUCUUUGUCCAAGGCCCUGGAGGAGGGCUUCGAUGAUGAUUUUAAGUGAAGCUGGGUGCUGACAGGACCAAGCUGCGUGUGGUUUUCUUUGUCCUCUGCGGUGAGAGAUUGCUGGGAUUGAGAAAUCACAAAAGCCAUUUUUCUGUAGGGGAAGUGAAGUGGGUAUUUG